rnacentral:rRNA from 1 species
UACAGAGGGGGCAAGCGUUGUACGGAAUUACUGGGCGUAAAGGGCGCGGAGGCGGCCUUCUAAGUCAGACGUGAAAUCCCCCGGCUCAACCUGGGAACUGCGUCUGAUACUGGAGGGCUUGAGUGCGGGAGAGGGAUGUGGAAUUCCAGGUGUAGCGGUGAAAUGCGUAGAUAUCUGGAGGAACACCGGUGGCGAAGGCGGCAUCCUGGAGCGACACUGACGCUGAGGCGCGAAAGCUAGGGUAGCAAACGGG